GUGAUGUUCUCCAGCAUCACCCAUUAGUGAAACUAACAAACACAAUGGUGGUGUUGUUAUUCUUUUUGCCAUAAGCAAAAAGAGCUCUGUGUGUGGGCAGUGUAGUAGGGAGAAGUCGAGGUUAUUUUUGUUCCGUUCAGGGUUUUUCCUCCUAUUUGCAUGACUUGAGCAAAUUAAAUGAUGCAAUAUGGCUUUUUGUCACAACACAAAGUGAGAUACCACCCAGCCGCCUAUGUCGAUUCGUUGGGAGCGGUUUACAUGAGAAUAUGGCGAAUUCUACCGUGAACUCCACGUAGCCUAUGAAGACUGUGUUAAAGAUUUAUCCAUGCAGUUAAACAUGACGAUAAUCAUUUGUCUAUAAUGGGCAUCUGCGUAGGAUAUGUACAGUAAACGCGCACAUUCUGUGCAGGAACUGAUUGGAAAUAAGAAAAACAUAACAUGCAACAUUGUUGCAGAAUACAUUGUAAGUGCGCUGACAAACAUGCCACACGUGCGCAUAACUGUGGCGUGUGACUCAAAUAAUAACUUAGUAGAAUUUAACGAUAGUGAACGGUGCUGACUCACUGCGCUCCUGUGGUGUUAUUUUGUAGCGCUGGGAUGAACGUAAAAGGUUAUAACAUAACCAUGGUAACACGGUAACGCUUUGGACACGCUCGAGACCAACAAUCAGGAGGCUUAUAUCAUUUCAACACUUUUAAACAACAUAGUUAGCUGAUAAAUCAUGUUCAUUUGUUUUUACAGUUUUAUGGAUUUUCUACAUAUUUAAUGUGACUGAUAAAGAAACCUCAAAAACAGCCUGGAGUAGCAGGACAACGCCAGAAUUUCGCGCGAGAAGAGGAGCGAGCACAGUGACGUAAGACAGCACGAGAGCGCGCACUUGGCUGUACACUACGGUGGAACGGAACGACGAAUACCUGGCUGUCAGCACUGGACGGGCUGUCGUCAGUGAUAGCCUACAGAAGAAUUGAAGAGAGAGAGGCAGGCGCCUGGCCCUCAGUGAGUGUCUUCACCCCGAGGAUCAGGAACCCCCCCCCCACUGUUGACACUGAUACCUC